rnacentral:rRNA from 1 species
UGGGGAAUAUUGGACAAUGGGGGCAACCCUGAUCCAGCAAUGCCGCGUGUGUGAAGAAGGCCUGCGGGUUGUAAAGCACUUUCAGUGGGGAAGAAAAGCUCAUGGUUAAUACCCGUGGGUGUUGACGUAACCUACAGAAGAAGCACCGGCUAACUCCGUGCCAGCAGCCGCGGUAAUACGGAGGGUGCGAGCGUUGUCCGGAAUUAUUGGGCGUAAAGAGCGUGUAGGCGGCCUGGUAAGUCUGCCGUGAAAACCUGGGGCUCAACCCUGGGCGUGCGGUGGAUACUGCUAGGCUAGAGGAUGGUAGAGGCGAGUGGAAUUCCCGGUGUAGCGGUGAAAUGCGCAGAUAUCGGGAGGAACACCAGUAGCGAAGGCGGCUCGCUGGGCCAUUCCUGACGCUGAGACGCGAAAGCGUGGGGAGCAAACAGGAUUAGAUACCCCCGUAGUCC